UACGGGGGGGGCAAGCGUUGUUCGGAAUUACUGGGCGUAAAGGGCUCGUAGGCGGCCAACUAAGUCAGACGUGAAAUCCCACGGCUCAACCGUGGAACUGCUGGGUAUACUGGUUGUCUUGAGCCAGCUAGGGGCGAGCGGAACAGACGGUGGAGCGGUGAAAUGCGUAGAUAUCGUCUGGAACGCCGAAGGUGAAAACAGCUCGCUGGGGCUGCGCUGACGCUGAGACACGAAAGCCAGGGGAGCGAACGGG
rnacentral:rRNA from 1 species